rnacentral:tRNA from 1 species
GGAGCGGUGGCCGAGUGGUUGAAGGCGCACGCCUGGAAAGUGUGUAAGGGUUAACGCCCUUCGAGGGUUCGAAUCCCUCUCGCUCCGCCA